AUGAACGCUAGCGGCAGGCUUAACCCAUGCAAGUCGAGGGGUAUUUAUCUUCGGAUAGAGAGACCGGCGCACGGGUGCGUAACGCGUAUGCAAUCUACCUUUUACAGAGGGAUAGCCCAGAGAAAUUUGGAUUAAUACCUCAUAGUAUAUAGACUCGGCAUCGAGAUUAUAUUAAAGUCACAACGGUAAAAGAUGAGCAUGCGUCCCAUUAGCUAGUUGGUAAGGUAACGGCUUACCAAGGCUACGAUGGGUAGGGGUCCUGAGAGGGAGAUCCCCCACACUGGUACUGAGACACGGACCAGACUCCUACGGGAGGCAGCAGUGAGGAAUAUUGGACAAUGGGCGCAAGCCUGAUCCAGCCAUGCCGCGUGCAGGAUGACGGUCCUAUGGAUUGUAAACUGCUUUUAUACGAGAAGAAACACUGCUACGUGUAGCAGCUUGACGGUAUCGUAAGAAUAAGGAUCGGCUAACUCCGUG
rnacentral:rRNA from 1 species